rnacentral:rRNA from 1 species
AGAACGAACGCUGGCGGCAUGCCUAAUACAUGCAAGUCGAACGAGAUCUUCGGGUCUAGUGGCGCACGGGUGCGUAACGCGUGGGAAUCUACCCUUGGGUUCGGAAUAACAGUUGGAAACGACUGCUAAUACCGGAUGAUGACGAAAGUCCAAAGAUUUAUCGCCCAAGGAUGAGCCCGCGUAGGAUUAGCUAGUUGGUGAGGUAAAGGCUCACCAAGGCUACGAUCCUUAGCUGGUCUGAGAGGAUGAUCAGCCACACUGGGACUGAGACACGGCCCAGACUCCUACGGGAGGCAGCAGUAGGGAAUAUUGGACAAUGGGGGCAACCCUGAUCCAGCAAUGCCGCGUGAGUGAUGAAGGCCUUAGGUGUAAAGCUCUUUACCCGAGAUGAUAAUGACAGUAUCGGAGAAUAAGCUACCGGCUAACUCCGUGCCAGCAGCCGACGU